AAGUCGUAACAAGGUUUCCGUAGGUGAACCUGCGGAAGGAUCAUUUCCAAAGACAAACAGGUAGUACCGUAAGGUACUAUCUGUUAAUAUCAACCUGUUGUAUUGUUUGUCAAAAUAAUUUUUAAUAGCACACACAACUUUUAACAAUGGAUCUCUUGGCUCUU
rnacentral:misc_RNA from 1 species